GUGGAUUAGAUACCCUGGUAGUCCACGCCGUAAACGAUGGGCACUAGGUGUGGGAGGUGUCGACUCCUCCCGUGCCGGAGCUAACGCAUUAAGUGCCCCGCCUGGGGAGUACGGCCGCAAGGCUAAAACUCAAAGGAAUUGACGGGGACCCGCACAAGCAGCGGAGCAUGUGGUUUAAUUCGACGCAACGCGAAGAACCUUACCUGGGUUUGACAUGUUCCUGACCGCCCUGGAAACAGGGCUUCCCUUCGGGGCAGGAUCACAGGUGGUGCAUGGCCGUCGCCAGCU
rnacentral:rRNA from 1 species